rnacentral:rRNA from 1 species
AAUCGUACCCCAAACCGACACAGGUGGUCAGGUAGAGAAUACCAAGGCGCUUGAGAGAACUCGGGUGAAGGAACUAGGCAAAAUGGUGCCGUAACUUCGGGAGAAGGCACGCUGGCAUGUAGGUGAAGUCCCUUGCGGAUGGAGCUGAAGCCAGUCGAAGAUACCAGCUGGCUGCAACUGUUUAAUAAAAACACAGCACUGUGCAAACACGAAAGUGGACGUAUACGGUGUGACGCCUGCCCGGUGCUGGAAGGUUAAUUGAUGGGGUCAGCCGCAAGGCGAAGCUCUUGAUCGAAGCCCCAGUAAACGGCGGCCGUAACUAUAACGGUCCUAAGGUAGCGAAAUUCCUUGUCGGGUAAGUUCCGACCUGCACGAAUGGCGUAAUGAUGGCCAGGCUGUCUCCACCCGAGACUCAGUGAAAUUGAACUCGCUGUGAAGAUGCAGUGUACCCGCGGCAAGACGGAAAGACCCCGUGAACCUUUACUAUAGCUUGACACUGAACAUUGAGCCUUGAUGUGUAGGAUAGGUGGGAGGCUUUGAAGCGUGGACGCCAGUCUGCGUGGAGCCAUCCUUGAAAUACCACCCUUUAAUGUUUGAUGUUCUAACUCGGCCCCGUAAUCCGGGGUGAGGACAGUGUCUGGUGGGUAGUUUGACUGGGGCGGUCUCCUCCCAAAGAGUAACGGAGGAGCACGAAGGUUAGCUAAUCACGGUCGGACAUCGUGAGGUUAGUGCAAAGGCAUAAGCUAGCUUGACUGCGAGAGUGACGGCUCGAGCAGGUACGAAAGUAGGUCUUAGUGAUCCGGUGGUUCUGAAUGGAAGGGCCAUCGCUCAACGGAUAAAAGGUACUCCGGGGAUAACAGGCUGAUACCGCCCAAGAGUUCAUAUCGACGGCGGUGUUUGGCACCUCGAUGUCGGCUCAUCACAUCCUGGGGCUGAAGUAGGUCCCAAGGGUAUGGCUGUUCGCCAUUUAAAGUGGUACGCGAGCUGGGUUUAGAACGUCGUGAGACAGUUCGGUCCCUAUCUGCCGUGGGCGUUGGAAGAUUGAGAGGGGUUGCUCCUAGUACGAGAGGACCGGAGUGAACGCACCACUGGUGUUCGGGUUGUCAUGCCAAUGGCAUUGCCCGGUAGCUAAGUGCGGAAAAGAUAAGCGCUGAAAGCAUCUAAGCGCGAAACUUGCCUCAAGAUGAGUCUUCCCUGGGCCUUUAAGGCCCCUGAAGGAACGUUUAAGACUAAGACGUUGAUAGGCUGGGUGUGUAAGUGCAGCGAUGCAUUGAGCUAACCAGUACUAAUGAUCCGUGAGGCUUAACCUU